UCCAGUCUAUCAUUGUUGGACAUUUGGGUUGGUUCCAAGUCUUUGCUACUGUGAAUAGGAUCAGCAAGAUUUUUCUAGAAAGAGCCAAAUAGUAAAUAUUUUAGGCUUUACAGGCCUUACAGUCUUGUUGCAACAGCUCAACUCUGAUGUUGCAGUGCAAAACCAGCCAUGGCCAAUACAUAAAUGACAGAGUGGGACACGUUCUGAUAAAACUUUAUCUAUGGACACUGAAGUUAGUUGAAUUUCUUGGAAUGUUUACAUGUCACAAAAUAUUAUUCUUUUAUUUUUUUCAAGCAUUUGUAAAUAUAAAAAACAUUCUUGCCUGUAUUGCUGACCCACAAUAUAUACUUGACCAUGAGUUCAGUCACUAUGACAUGCUCGGGGAUAUUGCAUUUCAUACUUUCAAGUUCCAGAAGAAUAUACAGGAAAGGUUGGCCAACUGAAUAUAUUCAUUUACUGGAAAACAUCCAGGCAUCUGGGAAGAGGCAGCAAAAAGAGCACUAUUUGUGAUGUCGAACUUGGCUUCAGUCAAAUUUGGAUUCUAAUCCCUUAGUGGUGUUUUGAUUUGGGCAAGUCACUUAAAGUCUUUACACUUCAAUUUUCCUAACUAUAAAAGUAGGAAUAAUAAUGCCUGUCUUGAAGAGUAUAAGACUGAAUUAUAUGUAGUCACUGUAUGUGA
rnacentral:lncRNA from 1 species